UUUUUUUUCUGAUUGCAGAGGUCAUAUGUAUUCUGUGUGGAGAAUUUGGAAGAUGAAGAAAAGUACAAAUCCGAUCAACCGUAACAUCUCCUGCAUUUCAUAAAACAAUGAUAUCACUUUCAAAUGUGUAAAUGAGAAGCUUAUUUUAAGAACACAAUUUUUCUUUUCCAUUAAAUUUGCAUCUAGUAGAGUAAGCUUAGGGAGAAAUUAGCCCUUCUGAUUGUUAUUUAGCAUUAUUUUACUUUGUGUUUACUUACACACAUUUUUUUUUUUUUAAUGGCCACACCAGCAGCAUAUGGAAAUUCCAGGGCCAGGGGUUGAAUCUGAGCUGCAGCUGUGGAAAUGCCAGAUCCUUUUAAAACCACUGUGCCAGGCCAGGGAUUAAGCCUGAAGUGUCUCAGCAGCUAUCUGAGCCAAUGCUGUCACAUUCUUAACCCACUGGGCCACAGCGGGAACUCCUUCCUUACAUUAUUAUUACUAAAAGUAAACUCUCUUCCCGGAGCACUUAGCAUGUGUGGGGCAGAAUGCUAAGCACAGCACAUGAAUUAUCUCACUUUGUCCUCCCAAGAAACCCAGAAGAUUGGCAUGAAUUCCGUUAACUUAAUACAGGUGGGUUAGUGGAAGAAUCAGAGUGAUUAUAUAAGGCAGCCAAGGUCCCUCAGCUGGUAAUGUGGGAAACCAGGAUUCAUACCCAGUCCUCUGCGCUCAUUCCACUCCCUCAUCAGGGAAAGGAACGGAGGGAAGGAGGGAAUUUAUGGAACCUCGCCUUGUCAGUCCUGGUGCUGGUUGCGUGCCUUGCUGAUCGUGUUCAAUCUUCACAGCCCCACAAGAUUCUUGUCUCUGGAUGUCCCUCAAACUAUCACAGUGGUGAAACUCUCUCACAGACUUGUCUCAUCUUUCAGCAGUAGGUAUUCAGAUCUAGUUUCACUAGUGAAAUGGAAAUGGGGCCAUGGAACUCCUCACAGUGUCUUGCUGGAAGUAGAAUCUGAUUGUAAUUAAUUGGAAAUCACACACAUUCUCAUACACACUCGUGAGUAUACAUAGACACAUGCUUUACUAAUACAUUAUGCACGUUAUAAAUGACUUUAUGCAUUUUUGAAUGAUGAAAUUAUUCUAAAUAAACUUUUUGAAAGAUACUUCGUAUUUAUGUGCGGUACAAAAUAUCAUUGCUCUUUUCAAAAAUAUUGUAUUAUUAAAUUAUAAGUGAUCGUAAUUAUACUAAUAUUUUUGGUGAAUGUAAUGUGAUUGAAAUGCUUUCUUGUUUUUAAAGUCCUGGUUCUGAUUCAGUUGAUUUUGAUACUUGAUUUUAAUGGUGUCUUAGCUGGGAAAAUACCAUUGUUGGGUUUUUUCUUAGUAAAUCACUUUUAAUCCUGAUGAAAUCUGACUGGUGAAUUUCCAUCUUCCAUCAUGCCUAUCACUUGCUUUUGUGCACUAAGUUGGAUGGUUUUGCAUUUUGAUAUUGUUAGAGAGAGGUUCAAACUCAAGCUCUUCAUUUAGAAGAUGUUAAAACAAAUGAUAAAUUUCUGUUUCCAAGUUUUUAAGGUGCUCAGACAUAAAAAUGUAUCAAAGUGAUAAAUUACACUGGUUUUACCCCAGAAUUGCAUAGCAAUGGAAACAUUUUCAAAUAUGUUUUGAAAGUACUGUUUCUGUAGUAGCAUUUAUUUUGAAAGAGUUUCUUCAAAUAAAUCUAGCAAUUUCCCUCUCCUUUUUUAACUGUUAAAGGACAGAUUAGGCACUGAAGUA
rnacentral:lncRNA from 1 species